ensembl:snoRNA
CAGCAUGUUUCCCUGGCAGUCACUCUUUGUGGCCAUGGACUCUCCAACUACAUGCAAGAGCAACAUGGGAAACACUGACAGCUUCAGUUAGCACAAUACCUGCAGCUGCCACUCACCUUUCCCAUGAUA